AAGUCGUAACAAGGUUUCCGUAGGUGAACCUGCGGAAGGAUCAUUAACACGUAUCCAAACGUUAAAACCCCCCCCAUCCUGCUCUUGUAACCCGCGUAGUUCGCAAUCUCUGAUAAAUCAUAGCCCGAAAAGUUGUAGUGAUUCAGAGACCUCUGGCUACCUGCGAACAUUGGAACAGUUACAAUCGAGCGGUGGGUAAAAAAACCGAACAACUGUUAACAAUGGAUAUCUUGGUUCUC
rnacentral:misc_RNA from 1 species